rnacentral:lncRNA from 1 species
CAGAAGUCAGGUCGGAUUAAGCCAUAGUACGGAAAAAACUAUGCUACCUGUGAGCCCCGUCCAAGGACGUUAAAAGAAGUCAGGCCAUCAUAAACGCCAUAGCUUGAGUAAACUAUGCUGCCUGUAGCUCCACCUGAGAAGGUGUAAAAAAUCUGGGAGGCCACAAACCAUGGAAGCUGUACGCAUGG